rnacentral:rRNA from 1 species
AGAACGAACGCUGGCGGCAGGCUUAACACAUGCAAGUCGAGCGCCUCGCAAGAGGAGCGGCAGACGGGUGAGUAACGCGUGGGAACGUGCCCAAAGGUACGGAACAACUCCGGGAAACUGGAGCUAAUACCGUAUGUGCCCGAAAGGGGAAAGAUUUAUCGCCUUUGGAUCGGCCCGCGUCUGAUUAGCUAGUUGGUAGGGUAACGGCCUACCAAGGCGACGAUCAGUAGCUGGUCUGAGAGGAUGACCAGCCACACUGGGACUGAGACACGGCCCAGACUCCUACGGGAGGCAGCAGUGGGGAAUAUUGGACAAUGGGCGCAAGCCUGAUCCAGCCAUGCCGCGUGAGUGAUGAAGGCCUUAGGGUUGUAAAGCUCUUUCGCCAGGGACGAUAAUGACGGUACCUGGAUAAGAAGCCCGGCUAACUUCGCGCCAGCAGCCGC